GCGCAGAAACAGAAAGAAGCUGCUUCUCUCAGCUAACUCAGUUGAGUUCCACUCCUCACCCCAAACGACGCAUCACUUUCUCACUCUAAAACCUCUGCCGCACUUCACUUUGCGAGUGGAGGCGGUUUUCUCUGUCUUCUUCUUUUCUUGAAAUAUGGUUGUAGAAUGAGUGAGUGAGUGGCAGAGAGAUAAAGGUUCGUUCUUUGGCUAGUUGUGUUGAAAAAGCUGAGUCCCAUUAGAGAGGGAGUUGAGAUGGAAGGUGGGUCGAGGCCAGAGAGAGAAAAUAAGGAUGUUCGGAAAAGGAGUGAAAAACUGGGAUCCGUUUUGGAGCCCAACAUUGAGCCAUUUGUACCGAGAAAAGGGUACGACCCGAAUGAGCUGAGAUCUUGGGC
rnacentral:lncRNA from 1 species